GUCUGUGGCUAUACCACCCUUAACAUGCCCGAUCUUGUCUGACCUUCAGAACUCAAAGGUUGGGCCUGGUUGGUACUGGCUAGUUAGUAAUACAGGGUAUUGUAGAAU
rnacentral:rRNA from 1 species